rnacentral:lncRNA from 1 species
CUGAGCUCCCGAGUAGAAUUGUGUAGCUCGUUCCUCAUUCUCCGGCACUUAUUGCCCCCCCAGGGUUCUUCAGGGCCUUUAGAGAGGUUUGGGCAAGAGCUGGGCGCCAUACCUCCAUUAGACAGACGGGGAAACUGAGAGCGGCAGCUUUGGUUUGCACCCCUCCUCACCUGGUAUCUGUCUGAAUGGUGGAGGUCAUCGGUGGCAGAUGAGUGGGGUGAUGCCGUUGGAGACUCUCCUUCCCUCUUGAUGGAAGCAGACAACAGGAGGGACUGGAAGAAGAAAUCCAGCCUGUACAGCUCUGAGCCGGAAGCACACAGUUCCCUAGGAGUCUUCCCCAGCUUAGAAAACCAUGCCAAAUCGCCAGUGACAGCCCAAAGAAAGCAAUUUGGGAAAGAUGGAGCAGCCAUUUAUCCUUCAUCUCCGGCUGAGCCUUAGGAUGUGACCCGCAUGCGGUGGCCAUGCUGCACAUCCUCAGGCAAGGGCCCGGUUAGAAGCCCUGAGAGGCCUCGGCAUUACACCUGGGGCAAGCGGAAUAAAAAAAGGUCACUGGUGCUUUUUAAACAUGGACCAAAAAGCAGUAAAAUGUGUUU